AGCGAACGCUGGCGGCAGGCCUAACACAUGCAAGUCGAACGAACUCUUCGGAGUUAGUGGCGGACGGGUGAGUAACACGUGGGAACGUGCCUUUAGGUUCGGAAUAACUCAGGGAAACUUGUGCUAAUACCGAAUGUGCCCUUCGGGGGAAAGAUUUAUCGCCUUUCGAGCGGCCCGCGUCUGAUUAGCUAGUUGGUGAGGUAAUGGCUCACUAAGGCGACGAUCAGUAGCUGGUCUGAGAGGAUGAUCAGCCACAUUGGGACUGAGGCACGGCCCAAACUCCUACGGGAGGCAGCAGUGGGGAAUCUUGCGCAAUGGGCGAAAGCCUGACGCAGCCAUGCCGCGUGAAUGAUGAAGGUCUUAGGAUUGUAAAAUUCUUUCACCGGGGACGAUAAUGACGGUACCCGGAGAAGAAGCCCCGGCUAACUUCGUG
rnacentral:rRNA from 1 species